CACUGCUGUUUCUGCCCCAUUUGGGUAAUUUCUAACAUAAGUCUCUUGCUCUGACCUUGUUUCAUUUCUCUGUACUUUCAGACAGAUGAGAUGGGUUGCUUCUUCACAAAUGUGAGUCUGUCCUCCUUCAGUCGAGACUUUCGGUACUACCAGGACAGCAUCAUUGCAGAGGCCUUGCUGGUGGAGGAUGGCACAGAGAUACAUGUCAAUGCUUCCCACAAAUUACUCAUCUCCAAGAUUGGCGGGAUGGCCCUGUUUGAUGAUGUGAAUUCUUACUACCACACUGGAGAGAGGUACAGGGGGAAGAUUAAAGUCAUUGACUACCAAGGCAAGGCACUGAAGUACAAAAAUGUCCUCCUUGUAAUAAGCUGCGAUGAG
rnacentral:lncRNA from 1 species